GCCGGGAUGGCCGAGCGGUAAGGCGCAUGCCUGGAGAGCAUGUGAGGCUCCCGCCUCUCGAGGGUUCAAAUCCCUCUCCCGGCG
rnacentral:tRNA from 3 species